rnacentral:rRNA from 1 species
GACGAACGCUGGCGGCGUGCUUAACACAUGCAAGUCGAACGGAAAGGCCUCUUUCGGGGGGUACUCGAGUGGCGAACGGGUGAAUAACACGUGAGUAACCUGCCCUUGACUUUGGGAUAACUUCAGGAAACUGGGGCUAAUACCGGAUAGGAGCUCCUGCUGCAUGGUGGGGGUUGGAAAGUUUCGGCGGUUGGGGAUGGACUCGCGGCUUAUCAGCUUGUUGGUGGGGUAGUGGCUUACCAAGGCUUUGACGGGUAGCCGGCCUGAGAGGGUGACCGGCCACAUUGGGACUGAGAUACGGCCCAGACUCCUACGGGAGGCAGCAGUGGGGAAUAUUGCACUAUGGGUGGAAGCCUGAUGCAGCAACGCCGUGUGCGGGAUGACGGCCUUCGGGUUGUAAACCGCUUUCGCUCAUGACGAAGCUUUGUGUGACGGUAGUGGGUAAAGAAGCACCGGCUAACUACGUG